UAAAUUGAAUCCAGUCUAAGAUAAACUAAAAGAAAAAGAAGAAAAGAAAAGAAGAACUGUUAAAAUGGUGGCUUUAGUAAGUUAGCACAUGUAGGUAAAGAGUCAGAAUUGAGAAACUUCUUGCAACAACUCAUCCUAUCAUAAGUAAUGUAGAAACUAGUGAAUAUGACCUUGUAUUCUUAGAAAUGAGCUUUCAGUG
rnacentral:lncRNA from 1 species